rnacentral:lncRNA from 1 species
AAGACCCUAUGGAGCUUUAAUUUAAUAGUCUCACAGCCCUAAUAAAAUCUUAGGAGUCAAAAUUAUUGUUCAUAGACUAGAAAUUUUGGUUGGGGUGACCUCGGAGUACAAACCAACCUCCGAAUGAUAAUAAUCCAGACACACAUGUCCAAAUUAUAACUCAUUAAUUGACCCAAAUCAUUGAUCAACGGAACAAGUUACCCUAGGGAUAACANN